rnacentral:lncRNA from 1 species
GGAUAAGCAUCUUUAACUGGUAAUGUAACAGUGCUGUAUCGAAACAGCGAAUUCUUGACUGCGAUGAAUCCGAUGCAGCGGUUAAGAGGCGAGGCGCUCUGGGGAAUGUGCGCCGCUGAUGCCAUGUCCAUGCCGGUCCAUUGGUACUACAGUGUGCGAGACAUCAAGAAAGAUUUCGACGGCUGGAUAACUUGUUUCAACCAGCCCAAAGAUAAACACCCUACGAGCAUCCUCACUCUCUCCAACGCAGCUGGAAGUGGGCGCAAUGGCUGGUCAAAAGGCAGCAAACCUCCAGUGGUUGGUAACAUCAUCCUCCAUGACAAGAUGAAAUACUGGACGACACCUGGAGGCAAUGUCCACUAUCAUCAAGGUCUGAAGGCAGGACAGAACACUCUGAAUACUCUGUGUGCCCUUGGUGUGGGGAGGAGUCUCACCUCGGGGAGAUUUAGCAGCAUGACCGAACCGCUAGCACAAGCUGCGGUCCUCGCUGACUAUGUGAAGUUUAUGACUACACCUGGUAGCCAUGACGACACCUAUGCAGAGUCAUUCCACAGGUCUUUCUUCUCUGAUUGGCAGGAGUCACGACCAACUUCACCAAGCAAGGUCCUUGAGUUUGCAGAAAAGCGAUAUAAGCAGAAGAUGAAUGCACAUCCCCCUGAUAGCCAGUUGGAUUCUAUCGGGUGCCUUCCAAUGACCAUCCCUUUCAUCCUGUUAUCAGCUUCAGACGAUGAAGAGAAAGCUAAUACGUGA